GCAAACGCAAUGAUGAGAAGAGUAGGGGAAGAUGUUCUUACGCAGAGAGCUCCGGCAGCUGAAAAGGAGCAAAGAGUUUUUCCCUGAAACAAGUCUCUGAGCAGCAUGUCGGAACCUUCAGGGGGGAUGGUGUGACGGGAGCUCCCGUUAUUGAGCUAGAGUAUAAGCAUUGCCUGCAAUGCCGUACUUGAAGAGGUUAAUAUGGCGACAUAUUAAUGAACCUGGGGUGGUACCACGAAAAUUUCGUCCCCAAG
rnacentral:ncRNA from 1 species